rnacentral:rRNA from 1 species
GGAAACGAUGUGGGAAGGCCCAGACAGCCAGGAUGUUGGCUUAGAAGCAGCCAUCAUUUAAAGAAAGCGUAAUAGCUCACUGGUCGAGUCGGCCUGCGCGGAAGAUGUAACGGGGCUAAACCAUGCACCGAAGCUGCGGCAGCGACACUAUGUGUUGUUGGGUAGGGGAGCGUUCUGUAAGCCUGUGAAGGUGUGCUGUGAGGCAUGCUGGAGGUAUCAGAAGUGCGAAUGCUGACAUAAGUAACGAUAAAGCGGGUGAAAAGCCCGCUCGCCGGAAGACCAAGGGUUCCUGUCCAACGUUAAUCGGGGCAGGGUGAGUCGACCCCUAAGGC